GUGCCAGCAGCCGCGGUAAUACGGAGGGUGCAAGCGUUAGUCGGAAUUACUGGGCGUAAAGGGUGCGUAGGCGGGUAUGUAAGUCAGACGUGAAAUUCCGGGGCUCAACCCCGGAGCUGCAUCUGAAACUGCGUACCUAGCAGGAUGGCGGAGAAAACGGAAUUCCACGUGUAGCGGUGAAAUGCGUAGAUAUGUGGAAGAACACCUGUGGCGAAAGCGGUUUUCUAGCUUACCCUGGACGCUGAGGCACGAAAGCAAGGGGAGCAAACAGGAUUAGAUACCCUGGUAGUCCUUGCCUUAAACUAUGUAUACUUGGCGUAGUGGGACUCAACCCCCAUUGUGCCGUAGCUAACGCGAUAAGUAUACCGCCUGGGGAGUACGCUCGCAAGGGUGAA
rnacentral:rRNA from 1 species